rnacentral:lncRNA from 1 species
CAUCAGAUGUUAGGAGGAAAGAAUAGAUUAGUAAUUAAAAUUUUUCAUAAUAUUUAUGAAAUCUUAUCUUGAUUUAUAGUAAAAAAUAAUCAAGAUUGAAGAAGCUCCUCGAUUGAUUUGCUUUGCGAGAUCCAGAUGCACGAAUCUUCUACUUCGUGUGUACGCCAAACUCUGUAGAAGAAAGGAAUGAACGUCUUCUUCGAAGAGGAAGGAGAAGAAGCUUUGAGAUCUGAUCUCAAAGCCUUGGAACAACCCACAGACCACCAUAAAGGAGGGAGGAUGGCUUGGUGGAGAGAGACACUCAGGGAAAGCCGCCAAAGAUGAGGUACGCUCAAGGGA